GAUGAACGCUGGCGGCGUGCCUAAUGCAUGCAAGUCGAGCGAACAGACGAGGAGCUUGCUCCUCUGACGUUAGCGGCGGACGGGUGAGUAACACGUGGAUAACCUACCUAUAAGACUGGGAUAACUUCGGGAAACCGGAGCUAAUACCGGAUAAUAUAUUGAACCGCAUGGUUCAAUAGUGAAAGACGGUUUUGCUGUCACUUAUAGAUGGAUCCGCGCCGCAUUAGCUAGUUGGUAAGGUAACGGCUUACCAGGGCAACGAUGCGUAGCCGACCUGAGAGGGUGAUCGGCCACACUGGAACUGAGACACGGUCCAGACUCCUACGGGAGGCAGCAGUAGGGAAUCUUCCGCAAUGGGCGAAAGCCUGACGGAGCAACGCCGCGUGAGUGAUGAAGGUCUUCGGAUCGUAAAACUCUGUUAUUAGGGAAGAACAAAUGUGUAAGUAACUAUGCACGUCUUGACGGUACCUAAUCAGAAAGCCACGGCUAACUACGUGCCAGCCGCCGCGGUAA
rnacentral:rRNA from 1 species